rnacentral:tRNA from 1 species
ACCCGCUAAGCAGGUGCUAACCUUCUUUUGGAAAUGUUUAAACUGGAGCGAGUAAUCGGAAUCGAACCGACACGAUCAGCUUGGAAGACUGAUGUUCUACCACUAAACUAUACUCGCAGAACUUGGUGCCCAAAGCCGGACUUGAACCGGCACGCUAUUGCUAGCGUGGGAUCUUAAAUCCCAUGCGUCUACCAUUCCGCCACUUGGGCUGGUGACUCACCCGAGGAUCGAACUCGGGACCCUUUGAUUAAAAGUCAAA